GAUGAACGCUGGCGGCGUGCCUAAUACAUGCAAGUCGAGCGAACGGACGAGAAGCUUGCUUCUCUGAUGUUAGCGGCGGACGGGUGAGUAACACGUGGAUACCCUACCUAUAAGACUGGGAUAACUUCGGGACACCGGAGCUAAUACCGGAUGAUCUUUUGAACCGCAUGGUUCAAAAGUGAAAGACGGUCUUGCUGUCACUUAUAGAUGGAUCCGCGCUGCAUUAGCUAGUUGGUAAGGUAACGGCUUACCAAGGCAACGAUGCAUAGCCGACCUGAGAGGGGGAUCGGCCACACUGGAACUGAGACACGGUCCAGACGCCUACGGGAGGCAGCAGUAGGGAAUCUGCCGCAAUGGGCGAAAGCCUGACGGAGCAACGCCGCGUGAGUGAUGAAGGUCUUCGGAUCGUAAAACUCUGUUAUUAGGGAAGAACAGAUGUGUAAGUAACUGUGCACAUCCUGACGGUACCUAAUCAGAAAGCCACGGCUAACUACGUG
rnacentral:rRNA from 1 species